AUUGAACGCUGGCGGCAUGCCUAACACAUGCAAGUCGAACGGCAGCACAGAUAUAGUUUACUAUAUUGGGUGGCGAGUGGCGGACGGGUGAGUAACGCGUGGGUAUAUAACCUAAAGACGGGGACAACUUGCGGAAACGCGAGCUAAUACCGGAUAAGCUCUGAGGAGAAAAGCUGGGGAUCUGGCGACAGACCUGGCGCUUUAGGAGUAACCUGCGUCCAAUUAGCUAGUUGGUAGGGUAAAGGCCUACCAAGGCGACGAUUGGUAGCUGGUCUGAGAGGACGGACAGCCACACUGGGACUGAGACACGGCCCAGACUCCUACGGGAGGCAGCAGUGGGGAAUAUUGGACAAUGGGGGGAACCCUGAUCCAGCAAUGCCGCGUGUGUGAAGAAGGCCUGCGGGUUGUAAAGCACUUUAGUUAGGGAGGAGUGUUUGAAGGUUAAGAGCUAUCAAGCAGGACGUUACCUAAAGAAUAAGCACCGGCUAACUCCGUGCCAGCAG
rnacentral:rRNA from 1 species